rnacentral:rRNA from 1 species
UACAGAGGGGGCAAGCGUUGUUCGGAAUUACUGGGCGUAAAGGGCGCGUAGGCGGCCUGUUAAGUCGAACGUGAAAUCCCUGGGCUCAACCCAGGAACUGCGUCCGAUACUGGCAGGCUUGAAUCCGGGAGAGGGAUGUGGAAUUCCAGGUGUAGCGGUGAAAUGCGUAGAUAUCUGGAGGAACACCGGUGGCGAAGGCGGCAUCCUGGACCGGUAGUUGACGCUGAGGCGCGAAAGCCAGGGGAGCAAAGCGGGG